CUUUUGUUGUUGUUGUUUAAUUGAAGUUUUUGAGGAACAGGUGGUGGUUGGUUACAUGGAUAAGUUCCUUGGUGGUGAUUUGAGAUUUCUGUGUACCAUCACCUGAGCAGUGUACACUGUACCCAAUGUGUAAUCUUUCAUCCCUUGCCCCUGUCUCACCAUUCCCCUCUGAGUCCCUAAAGUCCAUUGUAUCAUUCUCAUGCCUUUGCAUCCUCAUAGCUUAGCUCCCACAUAUCAGUGAGAACAUAUGAUGUUCUCCAUUCUUAGAAUAAUGGUCUCCAAUUCUAUCCAGGUUGCUGUGGAUACCAUUACUUCAUUCCUUUUUAUGGCUGAGUAGUAUUCCAUGAUGUAAAUACACCACAUUUUCUUUAUCCACUCGCUGAUUGAUGGGCAUUUGGGCUAGUUUCAUAUUUUUGCAAUUGCGAAUUGUGCCGCUAUAAAUAUGCACAUACAAGUGACUUUUUCAUAUCAUGACUUAUUUUCCUCUGGGUAGAUACCCAAGGAAUUUUGUAUCUAUAUUUCUGAUGGAAAUUGAUCUAUAAUUUUACUUUCCUUUAAGAUCUUUGUCAACUAUAGGUUCAUGCUGGUCUCCUAACAUGAGUUUGGAAGGGUUCUCUCCUCUUCUAUUCUUCUGAAAGGGUUUCUGUAAAUUCUAUUACACCAUACUUAAGGGUUUAUUAGAAUUAACUAGUGAAAGCAAUUCAGCCUAGAGAGCUCGUCUUUCUGGGAGAUGUCUUCUUUCUGGGAGAUUUUUGACUACAAACCAAUUGCCUUUAUAGACGUAAGACUCCUCAGAUUUUAUUCCUCUUUGUGUUGGUUUCAUGAAGUUAUUUUUAAGAAAUUUGCAUAUUUUAUCUAAAGUAGUUAUUCAUAAUAUCUUUGUGACGUAUGUAAGAUUUGCAUCCCAUUUCAUUCCUGAUAUUGGAGUGAAAUUCGUGCAUGGGUGUGUUUUUCUUGAUCAGCCUUGAUAGGGGUUAUCAAUUAGAGAACCAACUUUUGCCUUUGCUGAUUGUGUUCCCUUUCAUUGAGUUUUGGUUUUUAUUACUACCUUCCUUUACUUAUUUUAUUUAAAUAUGCAUUUGUUUUCUACAUUCUUAUGAUUAAAAUUUAGAUAGCUGAUUUGAAACUUUUCUGCUAAUAGAGGCAUUUAAAGUUAUAAUUGUUCUCCUUAGCUACGUCUCAUACAUUUUGGUUUUUAAUUUUCUUUAAAAAUGAAGAGAGAGCAUCUCCCUGUGUUGCCCAGGCUGGUCUCGAACUCCUGGGCUCAAGGGAUCCUCCUGCCUUGGCCUCCCAAAGUGCUAGGAUUAUAGGCAUGCACCACGAUACCCGGCCUGCAUCCCACACAUUCUGAUAUAUUGUGUUUUCACUAUCAUUCAGUUCAAAAUAUUUUCUAAUUUCCUUUGUGUUUCUUCUUUGACUGAUGGGUUAUUUUGAAGUAUGUUGUUUAAUUUCCCAACAAAAUUUUAAUUUUGGGAUUUUUAGGCAUAUUAUCACUGUUGAUAUCCCAUUCCAUUUCUGUGUCGUCAGAGAACAUAGUCUGUAAUAUUUAAAUCUUCAAAUUUAUUUUAUAGCCCAGCAUGUGAUCCAGCCUGAUGAACGUUCCCUGUGCACAUGAAAAGAAUGGAUGUUCUCCUGUUGUUGGCUGUAGUGUUCUAUGUCAGCCAUCCCUGUGGGGAUGUCAGUGAUGCUCAGGCCCCACUACCUGCACCAUUGUCCUACUGCAUCUCCUUUGAGCCUCCUGUCAACCUCUGCACACAGGGCCUCAGCCCCUAGCCCCGGAUGCCUACCACUAGACCCAGCAGAACCGUAGCAGUGGUUUGCUGGCCCAGCACCUAAAGGCGCAGAAUACGCCCCCUUGGCCCUCAGGGAAAGAUGCAGAGCUAGUGCGACUUACUCUUCUCCACCACCAAAGUAAGGUGAGUUUACCCCCUCCCUCAUCCCAGGAUCCUCCCUGAAUGGGCCAGGGGCUAACACAUCUCAGGACCACCAGCCUCAGCCCCUCCCAGUGCCUUGUUAAAGGUGAGAGCACUGGUGGAAAGAAAGGCUGCACGCCAGGGCAAGAGCAGCUUCUGAGGGCCUCCCGAAGGCCAGCCCUGCCUUCUUGGAGGGAGGAGUAUAUGCCCCCAACCUCUGCUUUGCUCUUAGUACUUGGGCCACAGUAUCCUGGGUGUAAAAUGGGGGUGAUCCUCUCCAUGCCACAGGGUCCUGAGGGUCAUACACAACCGUGCCCCUAAAGCCCCUGGCACAACACCUGACUGGGGCACACGGGCAACACACCGGCAACAAACAGGAGCUGGGAGAGUUUCCUGUGGCUGCCAGAACAAACACCGCAAACAGGCGUGGCGGUGGGGGUCAUGCACCUGACAUUUAUUUUCUCACCGUUCUGGAGGCCAGAAGUCUGAGAUCCAGGGGCCGGUAGGGCCACACCCACUCUGAAGGCUCCGGGGGAAGAAUCGUCCUGGCCUCUUCCAGUUCCCCAUGGCUCCAGGCUCCUGGGCUUGUGGCUGCAUCGCUCCUGCCUCUGCCCGUCUUCACGUGGCCUCUCCUUAUGUGUCUUUUCCUCUCCUCCUUAGGACAUUUGUCGCUGGAUUUAGGGCCCGCCCAGAAUCCAGCAGGGGCUCAUCUUCAGAUCCCUAAUUCCAUCUGCAAAGACCCUUUAUCUAGAUGAGAAUGUCUAGCCUCUGCCUGGCCCAGCCUUGUAUUUUGGGAAGAGACGACUGUUUCUAGCUGUGCAGGUUCACCGUGGAAGAGAGGUUAGUUCUGCCCCAGGUGGGACCCGCCCACAGCUCACCCACAUCGGAGGGCACUGGCUUCACUUGGAGAUCUGGGGCUCAGAACUGAUGCUGGCAUGGGCUAGGACUUCGGGGGAUGCAGUGACGGAGGGGGUGUAUUUUGCAUGUGGGACAGAUGUGGAUUUGGGGGGCCAGAGGGCAGACUCUAAUGGGUUGAACGGUGUCCCCCCAAAUCCAUGUCCUCCCUGAACCUCAGAAUGUGAGCUUCUUUGGAAACAGUCUGCAGAUAGUUCAGAUGUGGUUAAUCCAGUAUGACCAGCAUCCCCAUAAGAGACACACACACGGAGAGAGAGCGCCGUGUGGCGCAGGCACAGAUUAGAGUGCCACGUCCACAGUCAGGGCACGCCAAGGAUGGCGGCCACACGAGCGGGUGGCAGAGAGAAGGGCCUGGAGUGCAUGGUACCCCCCGAGCCCCCAAGGGAAGCAGCUCUGGUGACACCUUGGUUUUGGACCUCCGGCCUCGAGAACUGUGAGAAAAUUAAAUUCUGUCAUUUGAAGCCAUCCAGUUUGGGGGAAUGCACUGUGGAGUGCUUGGACCACACCAUGAAACCAGCACAUGGUGACCUGUGGGCCCGUUGGUGCCAACCCUGCGCGUGCCUAUUAGGAGGGGGCCUGAGAGGCUAAGGCAGGAGGGCACGAGGGCGUGCGGCUGGCUCUCGGGAGCAUGGGGACGCGGUCAGGGCAAGUGAGACCUGGAGGGGAUGCAGGGGGUGGCGGGCCCUCCA